rnacentral:rRNA from 1 species
GCCAGACUCCUACGGGAGGCAGCAGUGAGGAAUAUUGGUCAAUGGGCGCGAGCCUGAACCAGCCAAGUCGCGUGAGGGAAGACGGUCCUAUGGAUUGUAAACCUCUUUUGUCGGGGAGCAAAAGACGCCACGCGUGGCGUUCCGAGAGUACCCGAAGAAAAAGCACCGGCUAACUCCGUGCCAGCAGCCGCGGUAAUACGGAGGGUGCAAGCGUUAAUCGGAAUUACUGGGCGUAAAGCGCACGCAGGCGGUUUGUUAAGUCAGAUGUGAAAUCCCCGGGCUCAACCUGGGAACUGCAUCUGAUACUGGCAAGCUUGAGUCUCGUAGAGGGGGGUAGAAUUCCAGGUGUAGCGGUGAAAUGCGUAGAUAUACGGAGGAACACCAGUGGCGAAGGCGGAUUGCUGGACAGUAACUGACGCUGAGGCGCGAAAGCGUGGGGAGCAAACAGGAUUAGAUACCCCGGUAG